GACAGAGGUGCCGAGCGUUAGGCGGAAUCACUGGGCUUAAAGCGUGUGUAGGCGGAUGUCUAAGUACCUUGUGAAAUCCCACGGCUCAACCGUGGAACUGCUUGGUAUACUGGAUGUCUUGAGCUAACUAGGGGCAACCGGAACAAACGGUGGAGCGGUGAAAUGCGUAGAUAUCGUUUGGAACGCCAAUGGUGAAAACAGGUUGCUGGGGUUAUGCUGACGCUGAGACACGAAAGCCAGGGGGAAGGCAAACACGGGAUUAGAAACCCGUC
rnacentral:rRNA from 1 species